rnacentral:rRNA from 1 species
UGGGGAAUAUUGGACAAUGGGCGCAAGCCUGAUCCAGCCAUGCCGCGUGUGUGAUGACGGCCUUAGGGUUGUAAAGCACUUUCGCCGAUGAAGAUAAUGACUGUAGUCGGAGAAGAAGCCCCGGCUAACUUCGUGCCAGCAGCCGCGGUAAUACGAAGGGGGCUAGCGUUGUUCGGAAUUACUGGGCGUAAAGCGUACGUAGGCGGAUCGUUAAGUUAGGGGUGAAAUCCCGAGGCUCAACCUCGGAACUGCCUCUGAUACUGGCGAUCUUGAGUCCGGGAGAGGUGAGUGGAACUCCUAGUGUAGAGGUGAAAUUCGUAGAUAUUAGGAAGAACACCAGUGGCGAAGGCGGCUCACUGGCCCGGAACUGACGCUGAGGUACGAAAGCGUGGGGAGCAAACA